CUCGGCUGCUAUCCUGGGUGUCUGCCUCUCAAGCACCAGACUUCCACUAACAGAUGCUCCAUUAUGAGGUGCUCAUCAUGGGGCUCCUGGCUCCAGCCGUGUAACCAGCAGCACCAUGAACAACCGUCAUGGACGACACCACGGAAGAGACUAUCGUGAACUGCCGUUAACAGUUCCACACACGACUGGGAUUAACAUCGUGCUCUCGUUUUACAGAGGGAGCUGUAAGAAGAGCGGCUAACAAGCGGCUGAAAACUGUUGAUCGUCGCAACAAGCCAGCAAGAGGGCAGUUACAUGCAGAAGAGAUUUGGAGGCUCGGUCUGACCGGCGUCAUCACGGCAGACCGGGGAGUGAGUGGAUAGAUGCUUUCCACCCGCUCUAUCAGAACGGGGCUCAAUGAACUUGCUGCUUGAGUGUUACUGUGAUUUUGCAAACAUUGUACUGAUCAUUUAUCCGUAAUUGGGUUUAGUGCGCACAUUGCCCCCUUGUGGCGACACAGUGGCGUUGCAAGCUCUCACUUUAAUAGAUGCACUGCAGACCCGGACACACCGGAAAACGUAAGAUGUGUUGAUGCAGGCCU